rnacentral:rRNA from 1 species
GACGUAGGGGGCGAGCGUUGUCCGGAUUCAUUGGGCGUAAAGGGUGCGUAGGCGGCGCGGUAAGUCGGGUGUGAAAUCUCGGGGCUUAACUCCGAAACUGCAUUCGAUACUGCCGUGCUUGAGGACUGGAGAGGAGACUGGAAUUUACGGUGUAGCGGUGAAAUGCGUAGAUAUCGUAAGGAAGACCAGUGGCGAAGGCGGGUCUCUGGACAGUUCCUGACGCUGAGGCACGAAGGUCAGGGGAGCAAACGGG